UGGCAUUGGAAAUGCCUUCUCCACAAGGAUAUAUUCCUUGUGGAGCAGGAAUAUAUCCAUGACAUGCUACAUUAAAAAAAGGAGUUUUUAGGGCUGCCAACCUUACAGUAGAGGUUGAGUGGUAAUAUAUUUCUCCUACAUUU
ensembl:snoRNA